UGGGGAAUAUUGCACAAUGGGCGCAAGCCUGAUGCAGCCAUGCCGCGUGUAUGAAGAAGGCCUUCGGGUUGUAAAGUACAUUCAGCGGGGAGGAAGGUGUUGAGGCUAAUAACCUCAGCAAUUGACGUUACCCGCAGAAGAAGCACCGGCUAACUCCGUGCCAGCAGCCGCGGUAAUACGGAGGGUGCAAGCGUUAAUCGGAAUUACUGGGCGUAAAGCGCACGCAGGCGGUCUGUCAAGUCGGAUGUGAAAUCCCCGGGCUCAACCUGGGAACUGCAUCCGAAACUGGCAGGCUAGAGUCUUGUAGAGGGGGGUAGAAUUCCAGGUGUAGCGGUGAAAUGCGUAGAGAUCUGGAGGAAUACCGGUGGCGAAGGCGGCCCCCUGGACAAAGACUGACGCUCAGGUGCGAAAGCGUGGGGAGCAAACA
rnacentral:rRNA from 1 species